rnacentral:rRNA from 1 species
CCGGGUUGCGGACAGUGUCUGGUGGGUAGUUUGACUGGGGCGGUCUCCUCCUAAAGAGUAACGGAGGAGCACGAAGGUUGGCUAAUCCUGGUCGGACAUCAGGAGGUUAGUGCAAUGGCAUAAGCCAGCUUGACUGCGAGCGUGACGGCGCGAGCAGGUGCGAAAGCAGGUCAUAGUGAUCCGGUGGUUCUGAAUGGAAGGGCCAUCGCUCAACGGAUAAAAGGUACUCCGGGGAUAACAGGCUGAUACCGCCCAAGAGUUCAUAUCGACGGCGGUGUUUGGCACCUCGAUGUCGGCUCAUCACAUCCUGGGGCUGAAGUAGGUCCCAAGGGUAUGGCUGUUCGCCAUUUAAAGUGGUACGCGAGCUGGGUUUAGAACGUCGUGAGACAGUUCGGUCCCUAUCUGCCGUGGGCGCUGGAGAACUGAGGGGGGCUGCUCCUAGUACGAGAGGACCGGAGUGGACGCAUCACUGGUGUUCGGGUUGUCAUGCCAAUGGCACUGCCCGGUAGCUAAAUGCGGAAGAGAUAAGUGCUGAAAGCAUCUAAGCACGAAACUUGCCCCGAGAUGAGUUCUCCCUGACUCCUUGAGAGUCCUGAAGGAACGUUGAAGACGACGACGUUGAUAGGCCGGGUGUGUAAGCGCAGCGAUGCGUUGAGCUAACCGGUACUAAUGAACCGUGAGGCUUAACCUUACAACGCCGAAG